UUUGAAGAAUGAUAAACUCCUAUAAACCUAUCCAGGUUUCUUUCAUACCUGAAUUCGAUCAUAUGAUUUUUUUGUCACUACUUAAAAGGUAAAUAAGGGCUUCUGCAUUGCAAUCACCUGCAAGGUAUAUAUGAGAAACUUGAUACCUGUAGGCUGUAGGUCAAAACAAGCUUGAAACUUUGGCAAUCGCAUUGUCAGGUAUAGAACCACCUUCGAGAAUGGCAAACUCCUAUCUACCUCUUUAGGCUUCCACAAAUCACAAGACUUCAUGUCAAUGCUUAAGAGGUAAAUCACGAUGUCUACCUCACCCCUUUAAUUACAAGGUAUAUUUAUAAACAUUAUACCUCCCCUCAGAAGAAUGACUAACUCCUAAGUCCUAGCUACAUUUCUUUAGCCUUCGGGGGCAUAAAUCUGAUUGUAUGACUUCCAUGCCAUGACCUGAGAGGUAAAUAACGACACCUAAAGUUCAUUUCACCCAGUAUAAUUCACAUUUCUUAUGAAGCUUUACACCAAAAGACUUGCCAUUUUGGAAGUCAUGACAUACAUUAUACUCCCUCUAUCCAAUAUUAACUGACCUUGGGAUAAUUUAUGAUUGCAAUUUAGAUGGUUAUCCUCAGCUCUUGAUCAUCAGAGCUUAACUAUUACUCUAUCCAUCCCAAUUAAUACGGCAAUCUUUCUAUUUCAGGACAUCCAAAUACAUUCAACAAUUCUACUAAAAUUCCUUCAUCUAAAUUUAGGACUAUCAUCUACUUUUGUCGGAAUUAUUAAGGUAAGAGCUCAGAUUUCAUUAUAUUUCAAAAGUACAGACAAAUUAAUAUUUUGAAAAAAUGGAACAAUUUUUAGAAUUAGUUUUCAUUUUAGGAAAGGGGAAACAAAUUGGAACAAUCCAACAUAGAAAGAACGGUUAACUUGAGAUACAAAAG
rnacentral:lncRNA from 1 species